UCGUGGUAGAUGCUAUCUCUCGUAGUGGAGAUAUCGUUGAAUCCGUGAUCUAUUUGGAUUAGGAGUCUGAGGUGGUCAUACUCAAGACUAAUUCUAACAGGAGUAGGACUCUCCAGGAUGGGCCUUCGGCCUAUCUCCGACCUUAUCGCCAAGAGGCCUAGUCCUGAUCAAACUAGGACUCCUGGUUCCAUAGAACUACGUAUGGCUUGAUCCCCUAUAUAAAGGGGUACGUAGGCACAUCAGGGGGAUAUAUCGAGAGUUGUGAGAACGAGAGCAGAAAUAUAUUCCCUUGAUCUCAGCCACCCUCAAACACUUAAAACCACCGCCCACGGCGGAUUUCCGUCAUAUAAUCACCGUGAAACACCUUAUUCCGGCAACGAACCUCACGUUUGUUGAUUCACCAAAUUCCUCUAUCAACAAAUUGGCGCUAGAAGGAGGGGACUAGGUGAAAUCUCGAAGAGGAAGAGAUGGCCAAUCACGAUGAUGACCCAUAUGAAGGAGAUUACUAUGUUGAAGAUGAACCAGUAGAACCAUACUCACCGGUGCACAUACAGGACCCCCGCACUUUGCCGAACAACCCACCCCCGGUUGUAGUCAGUAACACGGAGCUCCUUAGUGCCCUCCACCGAAUGGAACAAAGUCAAGCGAGGUAUGAUGCGAGGUUAGAUACCAUGGAGUCUGUGCUCGAAGAACUCGUCCCUAGACACUCGCGCCAUUCCAAAAGCCAUGGCAGGAGAGGGCGUAGACGUUUCAGACGACCAACCCCCCGAAUGUUGGAAUACGGAGAUGCGCCUCCCGACGCUAACCUCCCACCAGGAGCCAUAAUAAGCCAAGGAGUCUACGACGCAAACGGCGCGCCCCUGGACGUGACCACGCCUCCCGCACAAACGGGAGAGACGGGACAAGAGACGGUCAACCAAAACGCAGACGCCCGACCCCUGGCUGAAAGAUUAGGUAUCACCCCGAACAGCCUGGCUAUGAUUGUGCGAAUGGCAGAACAGGAGCAGAGAAGGUCUUCCCAGGGAAAUGGCGCGCCCCUGCGUCCUCAAGGGAACGACGCGCCCCCUGAGGCGAGACGUGAGGCAGGAACGGGCAGGACAUACCGGGGAGUACGGGGAAGAGGAAGAGGCCUCAUACCAAACCCAAAGGGAAGGCGCCGAGGGGGACCCGUGAUAGAGUACCUUCCUUCGCAAAGCGACUCGAGCCAGCACACCCCGCACCCAAGAACCACGGGAAGGACGCGCCCCCUUGGCAAUCAAGGAGACACGCCUCCCCAAGGCCCACCUGCUGCUAAUCAACAAACCACGCCACCUCCAAUCAUAACUACUGCCAAUCAACAGGCCACGUCACCCCCAAUCAUAACUACUGCCAAUCAACAGGCCACGUCACCUCCAAUCAUAACUACCGUCAAUCAGCAAGCCACGUCAACUCCACCCACUUCCACUCCACAACAAACGCUCACCCAAAUCGCCCAACCAACCGCUACCCAGACUCUAGCCAACAACGUGCUUCAGACCACGGUGGCCAACACAAACUUAGCAACUGCUACCCCUCCGGUAAACACCCAGACCAUCCCAGGAGUCGGAACAAUCAACCCCGAAGACCUGAAGAAGUUACUAGCCCUUCUGCAAGCCAGCGCUGCCACGACGGCGCCACAGAUCUCGUCACCAUUUACCGCAGCAGUCCGCGAAGCUCAAUUGCCAACCGGUUUCAGAAACCUGAAUGCAGAUCUCCGCUAUCACGGGAAUGCCGACCCCCGCGAAUUCCUGAUCAGAUUCAACAUUGAAAUGGAUUUAUAUCAGAUCCCCGACCUGGUCAGGUGCAGGUUCCUAGCAGCGACCCUGAGGGACAAUGCUCAACAAUGGUUUCAAAAGUUGGGAGGAGGAGUCAUCUCCUCUUGGGAAGGUAUGCAGCAGAUGUUCAUGACGCAAUUCCAGGCCGCAACCAAAUACGCUCCACCCGUCACUACACUCGCCAAUGUCAAGCAGCGUGACAACGAAACCCUGACCGCAUAUUUCAAGAGGUUCAAUCAGGAAUCCAUGGGAGUGAAAGGAGCCUCGGACGAAACCCUGAAGAACUUCCUUAUCGCCGGACUCAAGGUUGGUACCGACUUCUGGAAGCAUCUCCAAGGGAAGGACCCGGCCUCUCUGUCCGAACUCUAUUCCGCAGCUGAAUCCUUCAAAAAAGUAGAGCAGUCGUUGGCCGAGAAUCAAAAGGAGAUCGCCAAAUCUAAAUAUAAAAGAAAAGAUCGCACUCCCAGUCCAGAACCAAGAGGACGCGCCCGCUCUCCGGGUAGGGUAAAUAUGACUUCAAGCAAAAGGACUUGGAGUCCUCCCCCGAGACAGUCAGGAGCAUAUACCCCGCUAACAGCCUCAGCUGAACAUGUCUAUGCGAUGACCAAGGAUAAGGUGCCGUUCCAGAAACCUCAACCUAUUCCCCAACAUAUAGCCAGAGACAAAAAGAAGUAUUGUGACUUCCACGAAUCAGCAGGACAUAGCACCUCCGAGUGUCGGCAUCUGAAAGAGGAAAUCGAAUAUUUACUCAAAGAAGGAUACCUAACGGAAUGGGUAAAAAAGUACAGGACAGAUCAUCCUCCGGAAAGGCGCGGCCUCGGUGCUUCACAGAAUGACAGAGCUGAAGAAAAGCAGAACGAUACUCAGUUUGUGAGGGAAGGCAGCAUCAGGAGCAUAUUUGGGGGACCUUACAUAGGGGGAGGCAGUCGAAAGGCAAUGGAGAAAUAUGCUAAGGAAGCGAAGGACUACCCUCUUACCAACGUGAACCAUCUGUCGGCCAGAGCCCCACGAGUAUUUAAGGGAGAAACCAUGGACAUCACCUUUACAGAGGACGAUGCGAGGUGGGUACACCAUCCCCAUAAUGAUGCUUUGGUGGUCGCCAUCCGCAUCGCCACCUUAAACGUUCAUCGAGUAUUUGUUGACAAUGGUAGUUCGGUCAACAUUCUCUACUAUGACACCUACAAGAAGAUGGGAUUACCAGACAAAGACAUGACCGUAGAGAAUCUCUACAUAUACGGCUUCGGAGGAGAGGCCAUCAAAGCUAAAGGAACCAUACGCUUGCCAGUCACUUUAGGAGAGGCUCCACGAGCGGCCACUCAAAUUUCCGAAUUUGUGGUCAUCGACCAUCCCUCGGCGCAUAAUGCACUUAUGGGACGCCCCCUCUUGAAGGACAUGAGGAUAAUCACCUCCAUUUACCAUCUUACUUUGAAGUUCCCCACCCCUGGAGGAGUUGGUUGUGUGAAGGGAUCCCAAUAUGAGUCUCGUGAUUGCUAUGGCCGGUCACUCAAGAAUUUUCGAGACAGAAGGGGAGUGCCGCCCCACGAAGAACUUCAUUCGGUCCAUACUCUCUACCUCGUUCAGUAUCCGGAAAGCGACAGCGAAUACGCGCCCAGCCCCCCACUACUCAGGGGACGCGUCCCUCAAAAGGGCGAGCCCACUCUUGUCGAUGAAUCAACGUCCGAAGAAUGUGAAGAAUUGGUUAUCGAAGUGGAAGAGGCGCCUCCGAGGAAAGUCAGAAAGAUGGAUCAAGAGGAGAUCGUCAUGGAAUUAGAGGAGCCCUUUCCUCCCAAAAAAGCUUCUGAUGAUACGUCUUCAGAACCAAGGGAAACCCCGCACCAGUUCGACUUCGACUUAGACCCGAGAUUACCCAUGCAAGUGCAGAACACAGGGCCAGCUGAGGAUACGAUCGAUGUGCAAGUUACACCGGGGAGUGAUGGCAAGAUCCUGAAGAUAGGAUCCAAACUAGGUCCAGAGAUAAGGGGCAAGCUGAUAGAAUUCCUUACAAAUAGCCUUGACGUAUUUGCUUGGAGCCACGAAGACAUGGUGGGGAUAGACCCGGCAGUUAUGUGCCAUCACCUGAAUGUCGACCCCUCUAAAAAAGGUGCUAGACAAAAGAGAAGACCCAUCAGCGGUGAAAGAGCCGAGGCCCUGCAGGAGGAAGUCGAUCGCCUCUUGAAAGCAGGAUUGGUAAAGGAAUCGUUCUACCCGAAAUGGCUAGCAAACCCCGUACUUGUUAAGAAACCCAACGGGAAGUGGCGCACGUGCAUAGAUUUCACAGAUCUCAACAAGGCGUGUCCUAAAGACAGUUUCCCGCUCCCUCGCAUUGACCAACUAGUAGAUUCAACGGCAGGACACGCCCUCCUCAGCUUUAUGGAUGCCUACUCGGGAUACAAUCAGAUCCCCAUGUAUGAGCCUGACCAAGAACACACUUCCUUCAUUACGGACAGGGGUCUAUAUUGCUACAUUGGUAUGCCAUUUGGGCUUAUUAAUGCAGGGGCGACUUAUCAGCGAUUGGUGAAUAUGAUGUUUAAGGAUCAGAUUGGGAAGACGAUGGAGGUAUACGUGGAUGACAUGCUGGUCAAAUCCAAGAAGGAAACGGACCAUGUUGCCCACUUGUCGGAAAUGUUCGAGAUCUUAAGGAAAUACAGGAUGAAGCUCAACCCGCAGAAAUGUGUGUUCGGAGUGGAGUCAGGGAAAUUCCUGGGAUUUAUGGUUAACCACAGAGGCAUAGAGGCCAACCCAGCAAAGAUCAAAGCACUACUGGACAUGAAGUCUCCAGCCAAUAUUAAGCAAGUGCAAAGUCUGACAGGAAGGAUAGCCGCCUUGAACAGGUUCGUGUCAAAAUCGUCAGAAAAAUGCAAGGAGUUUUUUAAGGCCAUAAAGGGCGCAUCUAAAGAUUUCGAGUGGACGGAGGAAUGUGAGGAUGCCUUUAUAAAAAUCAAAAAGCACUUGGGCGAACCACCCCUCUUGGCCAAACCUCAGGAAGGGGAGACGCUUGUCCUCUACUUAGCCGUUUCAGAUUACUCCAUAAGUGCUGUAUUGGUGAAAGAAGAUGAGGAGGGACAGUCCCCAAUCUACUACGUAAGCAAGAGGUUGCUAGAUGCCGAGACUCGCUACACAAGUAUGGAAAAGCUGGUAUAUGCCUUGGUACAUGCAACUAGGAAACUGCGGCCAUACUUCCAGGCUCAUAAGGUGGAAGUUAGGACGGCGUACCCUCUCCGACAAAUUAUGCAUAAACCAGAGGUAACCGGCAGAAUGAUGAAGUGGGCAGUCGAGUUGGGGCAGUUUGACCUAGAUUACAAACCGAGAACCGCCAUCAAAGGACAGGCCCUAGCAGAUUUCAUAUUGGAAUUCCCUGAAGAUGGAGAGGAGUCUGGUCUCCUGAUCAAAUAUGAUCCCGACCUACCACCGCAGCAGACAUGCCCCAAGGAAAGCAUACCCGAACUCUGGUGGAUAUUGCAUACAGAUGGAGCAGUAAAUAAUGAGGGAGCGGGAGCUGGGAUAGUGCUCGUAAGUCCGGAAGGACAUAGACUCUUGAACGCAACUCACUUUACCUUCCAGCUCUCGAACAAUGAUGCAGAGUAUGAGGCCCUGAUCGGAGGGCUCAGGCUUGCCCUUGAAAUGAAGGUGAGAAAGCUUGUUAUAAAGGUCGACUCCAUGCUGGUGGUCGAGCACAUCAAAGGAGGAUACCAAGCAAAGGGACCUAAGACGGCGAUAUAUCUUAGGUGUGUUCAGGGAUUACUGGAUCAGUUCGAAGAAGUGCAAGUAAACAGGGUGCCCAGAGAAUUCAACGGGGAUGCCGACGCUCUCGCAAAGUUAGCAUCUCAGAAAGAUCCGGCCCUAUUGGGAGUUAUCCGCCUAGAGAUACAGGAGGUACCUAGCAUCCCCGAGCUUGAGGUAACAGAAAUACAAGACAAAGGUGGAAAGUUAACGUGGAUGACCCCAAUCUGGAAAUACAUCAAGGAGGGUACGCUGCCCGAAGAUAAAGCUGAAGCCCGAAAGUUAAAAUACAAGGCUGCCAGAUAUGUGGAAUAUGAUGGGAAGUUGUANAAGACGGCGAUAUAUCUUAGGUGUGUUCAGGGAUUACUGGAUCAGUUCGAAGAAGUGCAAGUAAACAGGGUGCCCAGAGAAUUCAACGGGGAUGCCGACGCUCUCGCAAAGUUAGCAUCUCAGAAAGAUCCGGCCCUAUUGGGAGUUAUCCGCCUAGAGAUACAGGAGGUACCUAGCAUCCCCGAACUUGAGGUAACAGAAAUACAAGACAAAGGUGGAAAGUUAACGUGGAUGACCCCAAUCUGGAAAUACAUCAAGGAGGGUACGCUGCCCGAAGAUAAAGCUGAAGCCCGAAAGUUAAAAUACAAGGCUGCCAGAUAUGUGGAAUAUGAUGGGAAGUUGUACAAAAGAGGCUUCAAUCAGCCCCUUCUCAAAUGCAUAGAUGGGGAGGAAUGCGCUUACGUGAUGAGGGAGGUCCACGAAGGCAUAUGUGGGAAUCAUUCGGGAGGUAACUCCCUAGCCAUGAAAAUCUUGAGACAAGGGUAUUACUGGCCAACUUUGAGGAGCGAUGCUUUUAACUUCGCCAGAGCAUGUGAUAAAUGCCAGCGAUUCGCCAAUUUCACCAACAGCCCGGCCACGUCUCUCACCAGCAUGACUAGUCCUUGGCCCUUCGCUAUGUGGGGGAUAGAUUUGAUCGGAGAACUCCCCAAAGCCAAGGGAGGAGUGAAAUAUGCAGUAGUGGCCGUAGACUACUUCACCAAAUGGGCAGAGGCCGCACCCUUAGCCACCAUCACAGCCAAGAAAAUAACGGAUUUUGUUUUUAACUCUAUUGUUUGCAGGUUCGGAGUCCCUUACAAGCUAAUCUCGGAUAACGGAAAGCAGUUCGACAGCAAGGAACUAAGAGGCCUAUGUGAAAAUCUUGGAAUCAAGAAGGAUUUCGCAGCAGUGUAUCAUCCCCAAAGCAACGGGCAGACAGAGGCGGUCAACAAAAUCAUCAAGCACACUCUGAAGGCAAAGUUGGAAGAUAGCAAAGGGAAUUGGCCAGAAGAACUCCCCAUGGUCCUAUGGUCCUACAAUACAACUCCCAGGACAACGACUGGGGAGUCGCCCUUCGUCCUAUCUUAUGGGUGUGAGGCCAUGGUCCCAAUAGAGAUUGGAGCAGGAUCGCUCAGGAGAGACUACUUCGACCAAAUUGACAAUGAUGUGAGUCAAAGACUAUACUUAGACAUGAUUGAGGAAAUCCGAGCUACAUCACAGCUGCGCUUAGCCGCUUACCAACGUAGGACGGCUAGAUAUUAUAACAGCAAAGUGAAGGCUCACCCCUUCCAAGUUGGAGACCUCGUCCUCAGGAAGGUUGUGCUCAAUAAUAGAAAUCCCCAGCAUGGAGUCUUUGGAGCCAACUGGGAAGGACCCUACAAAGUCAAAGUCAUAUUAUGGAAGGGUACCUACAGAUUAGAAGACUUAGAUGGAAAACCCGUUCCAAGACCUUGGAACGCGGAACAUCUAAAGAAGUAUUACCAGUAGCUAUAGGCUACGUAGACUAGCAAUGAAUAAUCAUCAUACCUAGUCUAGGGGAGUAGUGUACAUAUGCUCUUCUUUAGACUAAGGCCCUUGCUAGUCUCUUUAUAUCCCCUUGGAGUUAACAGCUCCCUGGGACGGGUGCGGUUUCGUACUCGAGCGCAUUAGUUAUCAGAUUUACUAUGGGCCAGAGGCCGUGACAUAAUUCGAUUUAGUUAUCAGAUCUACUAUGGGCCAGAGGCCAUGAUAUAAUUCAGUCUUUCUUAAUAAAGGCCUAGAGCCGCUCUUUUCCCGCAAAGAAGCAUAUCCAACAUGUGCAAUAUGUGCCUAUAGAAAGAUACAAGCAAGAUGUUUUAACACUUGUACGAGAGGCAGCAGUCGCGCCCUCCCCUCACAAACGAGGCAAAACAUAUUGACAAUUUUUAAGGAUGUUUAACUUAAACACAUGCAAAUACAGUAAAAAACGACGAGGCGCGCCCACCAGAUUCUGUGGAGACGCGCCCCCCCCCCCUGUCUAUUUAAUAGGGGUUGUUCGGAGAAUGAUGGCUUAAUAAUCUUGAGUGAUGAAAACAUCCUUAACAUUACACUAGGCGCGUCCUCCUGAAUAUGUGGAGGCCGCGCCCUUACUGUUCAGACUUGGGGAGUAGGGUGGACAUGGUUUAGAGCAAAGAAAGAUUAAGAAGGAUGCGCUUCCCUAAAUAAUAGUCAAGGGAUAUCCCUUGGGAGAGGGCGCGCCCUCUGAGGAUUGGUCCCUAACUCACCCCCCUUGUAUGUUAUCCACAAUUUAAAUCUGCCAUUUAUCUUCGACAAAACAAAAAGGGUAUAAGAUCCUCGUGCAUGUUAGCAAUCACACGCAACAGGGCUCGCCCUCCCCUUACUUGUAGUUUAUACUAUGAUCGUAAGCAAAAAGAAAUGAUAAUUGGUAAUGACAGAACAAUGCAUGAUUUAAAUAAAGUGCAAAUUAAACAAAGAGGGCGCACCCCAAUAAAAUCCGAUGAAAUAUAUUACAAGCUGCAGGGUUUUACAGAGGACCCGCACCUCGGAAUAUGGGAAACAACCAUUGUUUGAUAGAAUUCAAGUUUAAAGAAAUUAAAUAACUUCCAACUAAGAAAGGGACGCGUCCUCUGCGUGCUCUUCGGCCUGUUUCUCACCCUCUUGGCGCGCCGCCUCCUCCUUGGCUUCGCGGGCCAGGGUGGCUGCCAGUUCGGCUUUUUUAGCUGCCAAAAGCUCUGGGUGUUGGGAAGGGAACUCAGCCAUGAAGUUGGCUGCUGUCUUUCCGAAUUUAGGAAGCCAGUUGUAGUCGGGCUCCCCAGAGAGAAAGGUGGCGACAUAACUGCACACUCCUUCGAAGAAGGACGCGCCCUCCACCUUUGACAUCUCUUCUGCCAAACCCUUGUUGGCAGACUCAAGCUUGGAGUUCUCCUUCCUAAGAUCCGUGAUCUCUUUUUCAAGGCGCGCCUUCUCAGUUGAGAGAUCCUCUUCAGCUGUCUUCCUGGCACUUUCGGCCGCCUGUAACGCUUUUUCAUUUUUCUUCGCCUCUUUCUUCAGCGUGGAGAUUUCUUUUUCCAAAUUCGUGAGGCGCGUCCCUUGAGCGGUCUUAGCAUUUUCUCGGUCCAUAUUAUGGACCAACAUUUCACAGCUUGCUUUAAGGAUCCAUUCAUCCUUCUCAGCGUCAGACUUGGCGCGCCAUGCUUUUAAUUCUUCGUCGGAAGCUAUGGACGCGCCUAUCUCGCCCAGAGCACGGGUGGAGAGGCUGAUAGAUUGAGAUGCGCCCUGUUUUUUGGCUGCCCUCAACUUCUUAGGCCCUCGUGAGCUUUCCAAAGCAGGGUCAGGUUUGUCCCCUUGUUUCUGAGGGUUGAGCUCAGACGCGCCCCGCUUGGAGCCAGAAGGCUUGGAGGACGCGCCCUCUCCUUGGUUGAGAACUGUCCUCUGCAGGAAUGUUGGGAUGGACGACAUAUCUGCACAAUGACAGUGAAAAACACAUUAGUCGCGUACAGGUGAUAGAAUGGUAAGUAAGUUAAAGCAUGUAUAAAGAAAGAGUAAGGUAUGCGCUAGAGGAAAAAAUGUUAAAUCAUGUAAGCAUAGGAUGCGUCCUCAAAAUCAUCAAAGGGAGGGCGCGCCCUACCUUUGUCGGAUAAAUUGUCAGGGCUUGGCUCCCUGAGGUGCUCCCUAGAAAAUCUAUGUUUUCUGUCUGUAAGGGGACGACCAUCUCUGAACACUUUGAACCCCACUUUGGUGCCUAUAUUGGGGGAAAGGAAUCCGGCCCUAACAAGGUUUGGGGUGGUAACAAGGAGUGUCAUAUUCUUCCUCUCGUGAGGAAGGUUCAGGAUGUGCUGCGCCCUUUCUAAAGCUUCAUCCCCUAGGGAGGGCAUCCCACGCUCAACUAGACAAGAUAAGAAAUUAAGUCAGUUAAAAGCAACAACUGAAAGGGCGCGUCCUUUAGGAAGAUGUGCUAACCUGGAGACACAUUGAAUUGUGUCCUAAUCCUUUUAACGUCGUAAACGUAAAAGAAAGGCUCUUUCCACUUCUUGAUAUGGGAGGCGCGCCCCUCGCUGAAACCUUUGUUGUUGUGCUGUUUUCUGACUACGAGGAAGAAGUAACCCAUGGAACUCCUUGUCAGCCGGAAGAAAUAGCUUAACUCUUCCAUGGAGGGCGCGCCGUACCCCUCGUCCUUGUAAAGAAUAAAUAAUCCGGCUGCCAGCUUAUAAGAGUUUGGGGACAGCUGGAUGGGCGCGACAUCGUACCAUUCGCAGAUGGCCUCGAAGUACUCAUGAAGAGGCGCGCCCACCCCCAAACUGACGUGCCGGGGAGUCAGAACAAGGCGGGGAAUCCUGUAGUUUCCUAUGUCAAAACGAUGGGCCCUCAUAUCCUCGAGAGGCACCACGGCUGUCCCUUGCUGCUCGUAGUAGGCCAUCGUCCAUUCUAACUCUUCCCAAGAAAGAGUUGAGGGUUGAUCUACACAGCUCAGUUUUCCUUUGCUUUUCUUUAUCUCUUCAACCAUCUUAGAAGAGAGUUCCAUAUCUUCAUAAUCAGACCAAUUCACGUCCUCUUCCCAUUCCUCUAUUUUUGGGUGAGAAUAGGGUUCAGGGGAAGGUGGUGGAGAUGGAGGGAUUCUGGGUGCUCUGCUGCGGGACGCGCCCUGGGAGGACUCUUCAUCAGCUGUGUCCUCACUGGCUUGGUGGGAGGACGCGCCUUCUUCCCCCUUGUCUGAAAGCUCGUAGUUCAAAUCAUCCUUGUCGCUAGACGAAGAAGAAGAGGUGCCACGCUCCGAGGAUGAAAUGAUCUGAUACAUUUUACCCUUACCCUUGCGGGUAGGGGCGGGCGCGCCCUCGGAAUCCUCCAGCCAGUUUUCAAAGUCUGAAUCAUAAUCCAUGGGGCGGCCGGUCAUGGUGGGAGUGCUGAUGGCCUCCUCAACUGGUGGUGGAACGGGUGUAUGAGGGGUUGAAGAGUGUGAAGAUUCCAUGUCUCGUGCCAAGUUGAGAAGGAUUCUUUCCUUUUCGUCUUCGGAAAGAAUAUAUGAAGGGCGCGGUGGAGUUGGAGGAAACACUUCUGGAGGAGAAAUGGAGAUACCGCGUCUUUCUAGAAAAUUUCUGAAUGGAUGGAAAGGAGGAGACGCGCCCUCGCCUGCCAGCUGAAAGAAAAGAAGAGAGGAAUCAGGGCGCGCCCUCUCGGCAUUAAGUUUGAGAAAAUGGACUAGAGAGAGGUAUAAGAAAGAAGAAGAGUUGCGGUUUUAGGAUAACGAGGGAGACGCGUUGUGAGAAAGACGCGUCCUCCCGUUAGUUGGAAAAAUCCUCGAAGAUGAGUGCCACACAGAGGUGUCCUUGUUUAUGAAGCAUCGACCUUGUUUAGCUACAAGGGGCGCGUCCAAAAGGGAAGGGCGCGCCUUGAGCCUAGGUGCGAAUUUACUUUGUACAAACACGUUUGUUAACUAAUUAAGGUGGAUCUAAUGAAUUAAAACCUAGUAUAUACAGAUAUGCGUACAUAUAUACAAGUGAAGAACACGAAGAACAUGCGAGUAACUGAAAGGACACAUGCUCAGAUCUACUGAUUUACCGAACAAAACUUGACAAAAAUGGACGAAGAAUGUACCUUUGAAGAUGGUGAAAGGAAUGGGUGGAUGAACUCUGCAAAUGGGGGCCGGAAAGUGUUGUUCUGUGCUCGGGAAACUUCGGUCGCCGGUGGUGAGAGAGAAAUGCCGAAGAGAGAUGAAAAAGAUGAAGUAAGGAUGGGAAGGGGUAUUUAUAGGUGAAAGUGUACGGAGGACAGCUGUCCCUUUUUUAUUUUUGAUUUUUAUUUUUUGAAGGGUUGUAACGGUCUAGACGUUUCGAAUUCCAAUGAAGGUGAACAGACUCGUGAAGACGCGCCCGGCGGGGAAGGCGCGCCAUAUUUUUACGCAAGGUAAGAUGAGAGAAAAGGUAGAGGUUUCAUAGGCAUCCCCAAUACCUAUAAAACCUGGGGAGUACUUGUUAUAGGCGUUUUUGUACACAAUGUAAAGGGGAGGACGCGCCCUCCUCGGACAUGGUCCGGGAGGUGCGGUCUCUUGUCCAGUAAGAAGAACAUGAAGACAAGGAAGAGGAAGGACGCGUCUCCCCGCGAAGGACGCGCCCUUUGACUUAGGAGGUGACAUAAUUAUGAAAUACAUGAGAGAGAGAGAGGAUGAGUGAGUCUCCGUGACGACCCUCCCGAGGGAUAUGAAGACCAGUUACCAAGCUCAUUUGGUAGUUAUCAGGCUCAUCUGAUAGUUCCCGGGCUCAUCCGGGCAUGAUCUACAAUCCUCAAUCCUGCUAUCUGCCGAGUUAACCCUCGUGUGGGGGCUUGAGGUGAUCAUGGUUCUUGAAGGCCCUCCGGGGUAAUGUGAAGGCCGAUCAUAUGUCUGAAUCCUGUAUUCUGGUGAGUUAGCCCUCAUUGGGGGAUUGAGACGAUCGUGUAAGUUGGUUCCUUGUCUACCUUACUUGAGGAUGAAGACCUCACCGGGAGGUGAGGACAUGUCCCCGCACCUCGAGGGAUCAGUCAUGGCUCUCCCAGAUGACUUCUCCGUAAGAGUCAUGGUAGAUGCUAUCUCUCGUAGUGGAGAUAUCGUUGAAUCCGUGGUCUGUUUGGAUUAGGAGUCUGAGAUAGUCAUACUCAAGACUAAUUCUAAGAGGAGUAGGACUCUCCAGGAUGGGCCUUCGGCCUAUCUCCGACCUUAUCGCCAAGAGGCCUAGUCCUGAUCAAACUAGGACUCCUGGUUCCAUAGAACUACGUAUGGCUUGAU
rnacentral:lncRNA from 1 species